CCUGGAUAGAAUGGAUGUGGAGAGGUGGUUUAACUAGUGGGAGAGUCUAGUUCUAGAGGUCAAAGUCUCAGAAUAAGGGAUGUUCUUUGAGGAAGGAGAUGAAGAGAUUUCGUUAGUCAGAGG